AAUCCGUACUGCGGGCACUUUCUCAGGAGCUCGUUGAACCUUUCCCAUGUCUCAAAUAAAGACUCCAAUUCCAAUUGUAUAAAGGAUGAGAUCUCAUUCCUAAGCUU